rnacentral:rRNA from 1 species
GACGAACGCUGGCGGCGUGCUUAACACAUGCAAGUCGAACGGAAAGGCCCUGCUCUUGUGGGGUGCUCGAGUGGCGAACGGGUGAGUAACACGUGAGUAACCUGCCCUUGACUUUGGGAUAACUUCAGGAAACUGGGGCUAAUACCGGAUAGGAGCUCCUGCUGCAUGGUGGGGGUUGGAAAGUUUCGGCGGUUGGGGAUGGACUCGCGGCUUAUCAGCUUGUUGGUGGGGUAGUGGCUUACCAAGGCUUUGACGGGUAGCCGGCCUGAGAGGGUGACCGGCCACAUUGGGACUGAGAUACGGCCCAGACUCCUACGGGAGGCAGCAGUGGGGAAUAUUGCACAAUGGGCGGAAGCCUGAUGCAGCAACGCCGCGUGCGGGAUGACGGCCUUCGGGUUGUAAACCGCUUUCGCCUGUGACGAAGCGUGAGUGACGGUAAUGGGGAAAGAAGCACCGGCUAACUACGU